AUAGGGACAUAUUCAGCUGAGGUUCACGUAUAUACAAACCUGAAACUGUAUGCUUUUACACCAGGUUCACGUAUAUAGGGACAUAUUCAGCUGAGGUUCACGUAUAUACAAACCUGAAACUGUAUGCUUCAAACCGGAUGUGGCAGUAAUCCACUCAUCAUGCAAAACAAAACAAAAAUCUGUUACCUAGCAUGUAUUUGUUUGUACAGAUGAUGCCAUGUACUACAUUUUGUUUGCAUAAUCCAUCACCUAGCAUGUAUUUGUUAUAACCGAGCACCGCAACGAAUCUGUUAUUUACCUUAGGAGGGUAAGAAAAAACACAAUCAAUGAUAUUAUACAUAAUUCUAGACAUUGUUUUAGAGUAUGUUCUGAAGUAUAUUUUUCUUCCAGUAAAUGUUGGAAAUGUCUAUGUACUUUUUUCUCCCAAUAUGUUAUGGUCAUCUUCCUGCUAUGCAUAUGAAUUUCAUGGCCAACUUAGCAGCUGGUGGUUGGUGAUCCUUUCUACUUCCUCGCCGGCUCGAUAAAUCUCCCGAUUCAAGAUUUAUUUCUGUACUGGAUAGCAGUGAUUAGUGGAUUACUGUCACACGCUGCUGUUGUCAUCCAUGUCUCCUCAGGUGCCUUAGGUUUGUGAUGCGAAAGUUGUUCUACAUAUGUAAAUUGUUCUGUUCUUCUUUCGCCAAUACAUUAAUAAGCCCGCGAUACACUUUGCUUCUUUUUUAUCUAAUGUCUAUUUGUAGACUAAGUGUUUAUUUAUGAUAGUGGAUUUCUGGCGUACAUGUGAAUAUCUCAUGUAUAUACAAUCAGUACACUCACCUGAACGAGAAUGGUGGCAAGCAGAGCGGGGUUGCGUCUUGUCCUUCUAGCGUCGAAGGUCCGGUGCACCCAUGGGUGUGCCUUUGCUGGUUUCUGACUGUCACAAAGAAGUCAGAGCUGUGGGCGGCGAGGCCACUGCGGCAACGAUGACUAUGAGAACAAUUUUCAGCAAGCGGUGCUCCCCGAAUGUUGCGUUGAUCUACGUCAUUGCGUGGCUUGCAACCUUCUCCUAUGAAGCCCGUAUGCAAAAUCGAAACUGUCAUGUCCUCGAUGUUGUGCUCGACUAUUCAUUGUUGCUUUGUGGCUCCGUGCAUCCUCUCCACAGUUAUAUCGUUUUUUGUGAUGUAAUCUUAUUAGUGGUUGGGUCAUCCAUGCGAGCCCCUUCUGAAGUUUGUAGUCUAGGUUAGAUACAUCCGUAUGUAGACAAAUUGAAGACAAAUAAUAUGGAAAGGAGGGAGUAUAUUAUUUGA